rnacentral:rRNA from 1 species
UACGGGGGGAGCAAGCGUUGUUCGGAUUUACUGGGCGUAAAGGGCGCGUAGGCGGCCACCGCAAGUCGGUUGUGAAAUCUCUGGGCUUAACCCAGAACGGCCAAGUGAAACUGACAUGCUAGAGUGCAGAAGGGGCAAUCGGAAUUCUUGGUGUAGCGGUGAAAUGCGUAGAUAUCAAGAGGAACACCUGAGGUGAAGACGGGUUGCUGGGCUGACACUGACGCUGAGGCGCGAAAGCCAGGGGAGCAAACGGG